rnacentral:SRP_RNA from 1 species
GCCGGGCGUGGUGGCGCAUGCCUGUAAUCCCCGCUACUCAGGAGGCUGAGGCAGGAGAAUCGCUUGAACCCAGGAGGUGGAGGUUGCAGUGAGCCGAGAUUGCGCCAUUGCACUCCAGCCUGGGUGACAGAGGGAGACUCUGUCUCAA